UUACGACCAUAUCACGUUGAAACCCCGGUUCCCGUACGAUCACCAAAGUUAAGCAACUGGUCGAGACUGGUCAGUAUCUAGAUGGGUGACCGCUUGCGAAUACUAAGUGCUGUAAG